GACGAACGCUGGCGGCGUGCUUAACACAUGCAAGUCGAACGGAAAGGCCCCUCUGGGGGUACUCGAGUGGCGAACGGGUGAGUAACACGUGAGUAACUUGCCCUUGACUUCGGGAUAACUUCAGUAAACUGGGUCUAAUACCGGAUAGGAAUCCUUGACGCAUGGUGGGGGUUGGAAAGCUUCGGUGGUUUUGGAGGGACUCGCGGCUUAUCAGCUUGGUGGUGGGGUAGUGGCUUACCAAGGCUUUGACGGGUAGCCGGCCUGAGAGGGCGACCGGCCACAUUGGGACUGAGAUACGGCCCAGACUCCUACGGGAGGCAGCAGUGGGGAAUAUUGCACAAUGGGCGGAAGCCUGAUGCAGCAACGCCGCGUGCGGGAUGACGGCCUUCGGGUUGUAAACCGCUUUCAGCAGGGGCGAAGCUUGUGGUGACGGUACCUGCAGAAGAAGCACCGGCUAACUACGUG
rnacentral:rRNA from 1 species